ACAGGCAGACGAGGGAGCAGCAGAGGACCUGGUGGAGGAUGCCUGUCCUGAGCUAGCUCUUGCUCUCCCAGUGCCGCCUGU
rnacentral:pre_miRNA from 1 species